CAGGAAUCAUCUUCACAAAUCAUUUCUGCUUUACUUUAUUUGUAAUUUUCUAUCAUACCAUAUUAAUUUCUGUAUUGGAUUUCUUAUGCGUCUUUUUGGCAAUGGCAUCACUUCAACAUAUUUCUGAGCACCGUAAUGAGGGUUUGGGUCGAGAAUGUGCUUUGCACAUGAAGCCAAGGUCUACAAGGUUAACCAAAGUCUACGAGGACAUGAAAGAGUGUGACAGAAGUAGAAAACAGAGGAGGGAUUCGCCCUGAAGCUGGUUUUGAUAAUACAAACACAUCUGGAGUUUCCGUUCAGUAUGUGGACAACCAAGAAGGGAUUUCUGAAGGCACAUUUGAGCAGGAUAAUAUAUUAAUCGAGCCUACUGUAGAGCUUUCAGUGCAAUGCAUGGAGAACCAGAGAGGCCUUCAUGGGCAAAUUUUGUAUGAUGAUGUGUCAUACCCCAUCCAUCUCCAUCCUCAGGCUGAGCCAGAUAUUGAUGAUGAAGGCAUUGUAGUUGACAUGGAAGAAGAUGAAGGACAGGAAUUGCACUAAUGUGUAUUUGAUGCGACGAAAGGUUUAGCACCUCUAAGUUAUGAAGUUAACAUGGAAUGAGAUAAGAACGAGAUUGAUUCCGGGGACUGACUUUGAUUAUCCAUGUUAAAUAGUGUGGAAACUAAAUAUUUCACAGGCACUUUUUUUUAAGGUAAUGUGUUCAAACUGAAAUGAAGGAAAGUAAGGAAGGACAAAUAUUACUGCCCACUAAAUUAUAGCUAUAAAUCAAGUUUAUGUAAUUAGAUUUUGUUUUAUAAACAAAAUGCUUAUAAACAGUAUUUGUUUGAGUGUUGAACAAUGACAGAAGAGAAGACAUUACUUCUGUUGCCAAAAUUGUUUUCUUAAUAUGAAUCAAACUUUUGGAACUUCUUGUAAGGGGAAGUUGUUAUAAUAUUAGUUUUGUCUGUUGCUAUGUGUUAUGUGAGUAUGCUGCUAAAAGAUGACUGAAUAAACGUUCAACACUUU
rnacentral:lncRNA from 1 species